rnacentral:rRNA from 1 species
UACGGGGGGGGCAAGCGUUGUUCGGAAUUACUGGGCGUAAAGGGUCUGUAGGUGGCCAACUAAGUCAGACGUGAAAUCCCUCAGCUUAACUGGGGAACUGCGUCUGAUACUGGUUGGCUUGAGUGCAGGAGAGGAAUGCGGAAUUCCAGGUGUAGCGGUGAAAUGCGUAGAUAUCAGGAGGAACACCGAUGGCGAAGGCAGCUCGCUGGGACGGUACUGACGCUGAGGCGCGAAAGCGUGGGGAGCAAACAGG